rnacentral:rRNA from 1 species
GCGAAUGCUGACAUAAGUAACGAUAAAGCGGGUGAAAAGCCCGCUCGCCGGAAGACCAAGGGUUCCUGUCCAACGUUAAUCGGGGCAGGGUGAGUCGACCCCUAAGGCGAGGCCGAAAGGCGUAGUCGAUGGGAAACAGGUUAAUAUUCCUGUACUUGGUGUUACUGCGAAGGGGGGACGGAGAAGGCUAUGUUGGCCGGGCGACGGUUGUCCCGGUUUAAGCGUGUAGGCUGGUUUUCCAGGCAAAUCCGGAAAACCAAGGCUGAGGCGUGAUGACGAGGCACUACGGUGCUGAAGCGACAAAUGCCCUGCUUCCAGGAAAAGCCUCUAAGCAUCAGGUAACAUCAAAUCGUACCCCAAACCGACACAGGUGGUCAGGUAGAGAAUACCAAGGCGCUUGAGAGAACUCGGGUGAAGGAACUAGGCAAAAUGGUGCCGUAACUUCGGGAGAAGGCACGCUGAUAUGUAGGUGAAGCGACUUGCUCGUGGAGCUGAAAUCAGUCGAAGAUACCAGCUGGCUGCAACUGUUUAUUAAAAACACAGCACUGUGCAAACACGAAAGUGGACGUAUACGGUGUGACGCCUGCCCGGUGCCGGAAGGUUAAUUGAUGGGGUUAGCGGCAACGCGAAGCUCUUGAUCGAAGCCCCGGUAAACGGCGGCCGUAACUAUAACGGUCCUAAGGUAGCGAAAUUCCUUGUCGGGUAAGUUCCGACCUGCACGAAUGGCGUAAUGAUGGCCAGGCUGUCUCCACCCGAGACUCAGUGAAAUUGAACUCGCUGUGAAGAUGCAGUGUACCCGCGGCAAGACGGAAAGACCCCGUGAACCUUUACUAUAGCUUGACACUGAACAUUGAGCCUUGAUGUGUAGGAUAGGUGGGAGGCUUUGAAGUGUGGACGCCAGUCUGCAUGGAGCCGACCUUGAAAUACCACCCUUUAAUGUUUGAUGUUCUAACGUUGGCCCCUAAUCGGGGUUGCGGACAGUGUCUGGUGGGUAGUUUGACUGGGGCGGUCUCCUCCUAAAGAGUAACGGAGGAGCACGAAGGUUGGCUAAUCCUGGUCGGACAUCAGGAGGUUAGUGCAAUGGCAUAAGCCAGCUUGACUGCGAGCGUGACGGCGCGAGCAGGUGCGAAAGCAGGUCAUAGUGAUCCGGUGGUUCUGAAUGGAAGGGCCAUCGCUCAACGGAUAAAAGGUACUCCGGGGAUAACAGGCUGAUACCGCCCAAGAGUUCAUAUCGACGGCGGUGUUUGGCACCUCGAUGUCGGCUCAUCACAUCCUGGGGCUGAAGUAGGUCCCAAGGGUAUGGCUGUUCGCCAUUUAAAGUGGUACGCGAGCUGGGUUUAGAACGUCGUGAGACAGUUCGGUCCCUAUCUGCCGUG